GGGGGCGCCAAGGUUUCGACGGGGAUUGGAAGCUAAGGUUGCAUGUCGGAGUGGGCAGGCUCCGUAAAAAAGCCCAUUAUAUAAAAACGCCGAUACUGACGUUUCGUACGCACUAGCAGCAUAGUCUGCUACGUCGCUAGUAACAGUGCCUACGGGUUUCUAGUGACGUCAAUUUAGUAGGCUGGUUGUUGUUCACGUCUAUGGUUCAACAAUGAGACUUAAAUAGAAUCGCUUGGUGUGUGAGCCUGUCUGUGGGGGCCACGUUGAGUUAAACUUAAAUCACAGACUAUAUAUGUAGACGCCUUACGUGAAAGAUUUUCGGACGCGGGUUCGAUUCCCGCCGCCUCCACCA
rfam:Desulfobacteraceae bacterium 4572_35.2 ex4572_35.2_scaffold_2220, whole genome shotgun sequence.